rnacentral:misc_RNA from 1 species
GAUGAAGAACGUAGCGAAAUGCGAUAAGUAGUGUGAAUUGCAGAAUUCAGUGAAUCAUCGAAUCUUUGAACGCACAUUGCGCCCCUUGGUAUCCCGAGGGGCAUGCCUGUUCGAGCGUCAUUUCACCACUCAAGCCUGGCUUGGUGUUGGGCGACGUCCUCUUUGGGGACGCGCCUCGAAACGCUCGGCGGCGUGGCACCGGCUUUAAGCGUAGCAGAAUCUUUCGCUUUGGAAGUCGGGGCCCCGUCUGCCGGAAGACCUGCUCGCAAGGUUGACCUCGGAUCAGGCAGGGAUACCCGCUGAACUUAAGCAUAUCAAUAAGCGGACGA